rnacentral:tRNA from 1 species
GCUUCGAUAGCUCAACUGGUAGAGCACAGAACUGAAGAUUCUGGGGCCUUGGUUCAAGUCCAGGUCAAAGCA